AUUGAACGCUGGCGGCAGGCUUAACACAUGCAAGUCGAGCGGAGAUGAGGUGCUUGCACCUUAUCUUAGCGGCGGACGGGUGAGUAAUGCUUAGGAAUCUGCCUAUUAGUGGGGGACAACAUUCCGAAAGGAAUGCUAAUACCGCAUACGUCCUACGGGAGAAAGCAGGGGAUCCUCGGACCUUGCGCUAAUAGAUGAGCCUAAGUCGGAUUAGCUAGUUGGUGGGGUAAAGGCCUACCAAGGCGACGAUCUGUAGCGGGUCUGAGAGGAUGAUCCGCCACACUGGGACUGAGACACGGCCCAGACUCCUACGGGAGGCAGCAGUGGGGAAUAUUGGACAAUGGGGGGAACCCUGAUCCAGCCAUGCCGCGUGUGUGAAGAAGGCCUUAUGGUUGUAAAGCACUUUAAGCGAGGAGGAGGCUACUGAGACUAAUACUCUUGGAUAGUGGACGUUACUCGCAGAAUAAGCACCGGCUAACUCUGUGCCAGCCGCCGCUGUAAUAC
rnacentral:rRNA from 1 species